rnacentral:rRNA from 1 species
CCCUUAGAUGUUCUGGGCCGCACGCGCGCUACACUGACUGGUGCAACAAGUGUCGCUCCUUGGCCGAUAGGCCUGGGCAAUCUUUGAACGCCAGUCGUGAUGGGGAUAGAUUCUUGCAAUUUUUAAUCUUCAACGAGGAAUUCCUAGUAAACGCAAGUCAUCAGCUUGCAUUGAUUACGUCCCUGCCCUUUGUACACACCGCCCGUCGCACCUACCGAUUGAAUGGUCCGGUGAAAUCCUCGGAUCGAGCCGUGGGGCAACUCCGGUUCGAGAAGUUGAUUAAACCUUACCAUUUAGAGGAAGGUGAAGUCGUAACA